rnacentral:rRNA from 1 species
UACGAAGGGAGCUAGCGUUGUUCGGAAUCACUGGGCGUAAAGCGCACGUAGGCGGAUGUGUCAGUCAGGGGUGAAAUCCCGGAGCUCAACUUCGGAACUGCCUUUGAUACAGCACGUCUUGAGUCCGGAAGAGGUGGGUGGAAUUCCUAGUGUAGAGGUGAAAUUCGUAGAUAUUAGGAAGAACACCGGUGGCGAAGGCGGCCCACUGGUCCGGUACUGACGCUGAGGUGCGAAAGCGUGGGGAGCGAACAGG